AUUGAACGCUGGCGGCAGGCCUAACACAUGCAAGUCGAACGAGUGGCGGACGGGUGUGUAAUGUCUGGGAAACUGCCUGAUGGAGGGGGAUAACUACUGGAAACGGUAGCUAAUACCGCAUACCAUCGGAUGUGCCAAGAUGGGAGUAGCUAGUAGGUGGGGUAAAGGCGCACCUAGGCGACGAUCCCUAGCUGGUCUGAGAGGAUGACCAGCCACAUGGGAACUGAGAAACGGCCCCGACUCCUACGGGAGGCAGCAGUGGGGAAUAUUGCACAAUGGGGGCAAGCCUGUUGCAGCCAUGCCGCGUGUAUGAAGAAGGCCUUCGGGUUGUAAAGUACUUUCAGCGGGGAGGCGUUACCCGCAGAAGAAGCACCGGCUAACUCCGUGCCAGCAGCCGCGGUAAUUC
rnacentral:rRNA from 1 species